AUGGGAGGGGUCUGUGGCCC
rnacentral:misc_RNA from 1 species